rnacentral:rRNA from 1 species
ACGGAAGGCAGCAGUGGGGAAUAUUGCACAAUGGGGGAAACCCUGAUGCAGCGACGCCGCGUGAGUGAAGAAGUUAUUCGUAAUGUAAAGCUCUAUCAGCAGGGAAGAAAAUGACGGUACCUGACUAAGAAGCCCCGGCUAACUACGUGCCAGCAGCCGCGGUAAUACGUAUGGUGCAAGCGUUAUCCGGAUUUACUGGGUGUAAAGGGAGCGUAGGUGGUUUGGCAAGCCAGAAGUGAAAACCCGGGGCUCAACCCCGUGGAUUGCUUUUGGAACUGUUGAACUAGAGUGCAGGAGGGGUAAGCGGAAUUCCCAGUGUAGCGGUGAAAUGCUUAGAUAUUGGGAGGAACACCAGUGGCGAAGGCGGCUUACUGGACUGUAACUGACACUGAGGCUCGAAAGCGUGGGGAGCAAACAGGAUUAGAUACCCUGGUA